AUGUCCAUGCAUGUCCGUAUACUGAUCUGUAACAUGAGAGCUGGAUUGGAAUUCACACUAGUGCUGAACGUAGUGAUAGUUUUGGAAUGUUCCAGAAUAUGGGGACGAUGCAGCAAUGGUGAGCUCUUCAACGGCUGCGGCGACGGAGCACGCAACUCGAUGGUGGCUGUGCCAUCAGCGGAGUGCGCAACUCGACGGCGGCUGUCUCGUUGGGGGCAACAACUCCAUGACGGUGACGCCGUGCAUGAGGUCGUGAAAAUUGGAUGCAUGGACGGGGAUUGGCCGGUGCUGCCGGCUGGCGUCAAGUUCGAUCCCACGGAUCAGGAGCUGAUCGAGCACCAUGAGGCCAAACACGGCAUAUGCUACACCCAUCCUGAGAAACUUCCACGUAUCACACUGAGUGGCCUAAGCAAGCAUUUCUUCCAGCGCAACUCCAGGGCGUUCAAAAGGGGCACGUGGACGCGUCGCAAGAUACAGUCGGAGUGCGGCAUGCACGCGAUGUGGCACAAGACCGGCAAUACCUUGCCGAUGAUGGUCAACGGCCGGCAGACGGGAAGCAAAAAGGUUCUGGUGCUGCACACCAACAAGAACUUUGACCAGCAGAGUACCAACUGGGUGAUGCACCAGUACCACCUCGGGGACCUGGAGCAAGAGAAGGAGCGGGAGCUGGUCCUCUGCAAGAGUUUCUACCAGACGAACACUAGGGCCCAGCCCAUGACGACAACGGGGCAAAAAGAUCCAGCAGGUAUCUACUGGCCUCUGGCCCGCCAGCGUUAG
rnacentral:rRNA from 1 species